CUUUAAAAGGCAAACAGGCUGAGAGGCUGCUUGCAGGUGGCAGAGGGAGCUAAUGAGAGACUCACCAGACCAAAUGAAAGAGAGCUCAGGCUGGAGCUAUAAAAGACCUAAACCUACCCUGGCAUCCUUGAAGUGAGGAGCUCUUGGUUAUGGCAUGGCAGGGACCUAGAUGUAGCUAAACAUCUGUGUAAGCUUGAGGAGAGAGUCAAGUUCCCUGGGCAGAAAAGGACUGGGUUUUACAGCUGCCUUCCUGGGAGACCUUGCAUUGGAUGAGGAAGGCCUCUGGAUGUUUCAGGUGAAUGGCAUCAUGGAUGUUGUGUGCCACACCAUCUUCAGAGUGGCCGCCAACGCUUCAGGUGCUGUUCCUAUAUGGGCUGCAGGGGAGUGGGUCCUCGGGCCAACUCGAUCAGCAGAGUGACAUAUUUGGCAUGGCAGUUCAUGAGCUGGGAUUUGUCAUUUGCCUUCUGGCCUGAGCACACCAGCCUGGACCUGGACAACCACAUGGCUGCCAUCCAGGAGAAUAUACCAGGGGGAUUAUCUUUGAUACCAUCCUGCCCAAAUAUGAAGUGAACGGGUUGCACCCCUCCAUCAGCCAUUGUGCUUGUCUGAGCAAAAGUGAUACAAGUCCCAAGCCCAGAUCUUCUGAAACCUGGAACCAAGACCCCCAGUAACAACGACAUUCGCUCGUGGGAAUGAGAGGCUCAUUGUGUCAUCCCUGAGCUGUGGCACUGCUUUCCCAUGGCUAUAUAAAAUGAGAACUCCCCAGCCCAAGAGCUCUAGCAGCAGAAGCCCUGUUCACCCAGAAAGCCAAGAAGGGUGUCUAUGGUGCAAGCUGUUGCUAGUUUCGACCUGCUCCCAUAGCAGCCAGGGCACAAUCAAUCCCGGAUGACUUUCCUAAAUGCAGGUCCUGCUAAGCCCUUAGCAGCUUUGCAG